ensembl:antisense uncharacterized LOC110322288
GUUUUCUGAGCCAGCGGAGCGGGCGGGCAGAGCUGGAAGUUGCACAAGGAUGCUGGGAGAGGCUUGGGUGCAGGAACCCAAGUCCAAGGUUGCUUCUUAGGACGUGUCUUUAAAAAAGAGAACGUGGAUUUCAUUGAAUUUUAUUUAUGUCGAAUCACGGUUCUCUCAUGCAAUUAUUAGCAUGAACUCUGUGCAUCAGGAGUCUGGCUGUGUCCGAGAGGAGUUCAGCCUUACCACAGCCUCAGAUGAGAACUGGUGUGGGACCAGCUCUGAGUUAGAAGAGACCCAGAAAACUUCAGAGAAAGUCUCUCCUCCUUUAUCGCUUCCAGCGUAGCCCAGUGAGGGAAACGGGGAGCCUUCCUCCUUUUGUUCUACUGAAGUUGCUUCUUCCAAGGUUCUGUGACCGGCAAGGGAUGCACUAGACUAUUCAUCUAAAAUGUUUAAUUUUAAAAGUAAUUUGUCAUAGAGAGUCACAACCCAGAGCAAUUGAAAUAUAUUUUAAUUCAUAGGACACCUGCUGGGAGAAGUGUGCUCAGAAGUUACUCAGAAUUCUGCACACGUUAAAGUAAAAUGUGUUUGGGAUAGUUCCUCCCUAAUCUCCACUGGGAAGUUUGCAUCUGCAUCCCAGUUGUAUACAGUUUUUGUAUUUAUGUUUGUGUGAACAGCUGCCUGAGACAGACCAUAUUUGGAUUUAGCAAGCGUUUCUGUUCCUUCAAAAAAAAAUAUCAAAACAAAACAACUCCACAGGAAUGACAAUGAAGGCUUUCAAAAUAAUCCUGGAAAUUCAGGUUCCCAGAAGUGGCCCGAUAACAUAAAGAUAUGAAACAAGGUCUCUACUCUGUCAGAGGCAUAGCCAUGUUAGCUAGCUGUCAACUGGCAUCUAACAGAAGUCUUUUCACAUGACUCUCUGUCAGACAUCCCUAAUAACCAUGUGCACACUUUCCCUGUGUCACAUCACCACUCCACCAAUGGUGUAAGGAGGAAAGACAACAGAGGCCAGAGGUGUUCCUGCUGAGACAGAACGAAGACUGUAUCAGUAGCAUGACUCUUUAAUCACUGUUAUGUACAAUUUAUCAUCUGACAGACUUACAGGGAAUAAAUAAAGGAAAAUAUACAAUUGGCA